ACGGAGGGUGCAAGCGUUAUCCGGAUUUAUUGGGUUUAAAGGGUCCGUAGGCGGAAUAUUAAGUCAGUGGUGAAAUCUUGCAGCUCAACUGUAAAAUUGCCAUUGAUACUGGUUUUCUUGAAUAUGUACGAAGUGGGCGGAAUAUGACAUGUAGCGGUGAAAUGCUUAGAUAUGUCAUAGAACACCGAUUGCGAAGGCAGCUCACUAGUCCAUUAUUGACGCUGAGGGACGAAAGCGUGGGGAUCAAACAGG
rnacentral:rRNA from 1 species